rnacentral:pre_miRNA from 15 species
UGUGGAAAGGAGCAGUGGCCAGAAUCAGGUAGGCAGUGUACUGUUAGCUGGCUGUGUUGGGUCAAUUCAGCAGCCACGACUACCCUGCCACUUGCUUCUGGAUAAACUCAUCUUGUUAAUG